ensembl:lncRNA
UCCGCUGCUGCGGCCGGGGCACAGACACCAAGCCCCGCGGGCGAGCGCAGCAGCUCCAAGCAUCCGGCCGCUACCCUGCCGCCUCCCCGGCCCGGCUCCCGCGAUGCAGCCUGGCCUGUGAGCCGCUGGUCACUCUAGGACGCUCCGCCGCACAACUACCUCAGCGCCACCCCCUCCCGCCGCACCACUCUGCCCGUCGCACAGCUCUGCCUGCAGGUGAGUCCCGACCAGUUUGGGCCGGGGGGGUAUCCAGGCGCCCUGGGACACGCCCUGCGCCCCUCAGUGUCGGGGCCUUUGUCUGUCUCCGCGGGCGACCGCUGGGACUGCGUUCCCGGUUCCCGAUUGGUUGCCGCUCGCCGGUUGAUCGUGACGUCGCCCUAUUUGCAUAUGACAUUGGGACGUCACCAAGGCGCCAGCACCACCUCCCAAGCUUGGGUCGCUUGUCCUCCCCGUGACCUGGUGGGCACUGUGUCAGCCUGGGCCAAGAGUAAGAGACGCUGGACAGCAAGCGGGGUUCGAGGGGCCUCAGCGGGACUUCUGGGACUGGGCUCAGGUCUCUGUUUCCCUGGUUUCUUCUCCAGACCAGAGAGAAUGUCCGACAGCACGCUAGGUCUGGGGGGUUGAGGAGUUCGUCAGGAGGGUUCAAGGCGACCUCAGACUCCAGGUCUUUGGGUCAGCAGCCAGAUGGUGGCGAAUCCCCUUUUGCAUCCAACUUCCGCCUUCAACAGACUACCAUAAUAACAUUCCCCCUAAUCCCCGCCUUGUGUGCAGUGCCUUAGUUGAUGUCACGCCCAGCUUCCAAAUGAGGAGGUCUUAGACCCCAUUUCACGGAAGGGGAAACUGAGGCCCAGAGAGAGGAAGUAGUUUACUCUAAGUCACACAGCCAAUUAGAGUCAAGUUACCAGAUGGAUGCAUUAGCUGUGGGCAUAUACAUAGCAGGCACUCAAUGAGGUCUCUGGAGACUGGGUCCUCUUUGGUGGCCCUGACCCGCUUUGUCCUCAUUCUACCUUGGAGCCGCAUAAAAUCAGUGCUUCCUAGCUGUUUUGAUCAUAGAAAGGUGAGUCAUUGGCUGGUUGGUUAAGGUAGAACCUUAGGUGUAAAGUUUCACCCCAUUGGCCCCUCAUCAUCUCCCCACCCUAGACUUGUCAGCUAGGAGGGAUGUACUUGGCCCAGUGCUCAGUGACUGCAGAGGUUGUGCGGGCCCCUUUCUCUGUUCAGAGAGGGUUAGGAGAAGGGGACAGAAGAGAGUUUCCCCCUGACUUUCCAAGUGGAUGGGCCUACAGGCUGGACCCGGAGCCCCAUCUCAGCCUGGGGUUUUGCUCAAGGAGGGGCUCAGCUAGGGAUGGCUUAGGGUGUGAGUGUUAUUCUGGGCACAGCUGCUGUAGUUAUUAAAGGGAAUGAUUCCUUCUGGAGCAGAGCUGGGAACCUGAGAACUAGGAAGUUGGCAGGGCUGGGAAAGAAAAUCCAAGAGGCUCUCCCAGUGGUCAAGAGAGGGGACAGGCACUGACUGGCUGGUGCUGCUAUCACUCCUGGCUGUCACUGACUUGUGUGACCUAGGUCAGGGAUCUUCUCAUCUGAGUCUCCCUUGCCUUAAUGUCUAUAACUGAGGAGGCUCAGUGCAGGGUCCUGGUACAUCUUGAUGCUAGCAACCCCAGGCUUUUCUGUGGCUGGGCAGGGGGACAAUGACUGGAUCAAGGUCCCUGUCUCACCUUGUCCCCAGUGGCUCAUUCAUAUUCUUGGAGAUUAUCUGUUGAAGCUUUCCUGACUAUGUACAAUCUGGACUGAGUGCUUAGUGACCUAAUGCUUGGCUUACCCUACCACUAGCUGUGGGUUUGAGUAUUGAUUUAUGUUCUGUCUCUCUCAAUCUCAGGCUGUAAAAUGGUCUGGGAGCAGAUCUAUAGCCACAAUCUUAAUGUCUCCAUUCCUGGAGCAGGGAGCCUCCUUCCCUUAUCUUCACCUAGGGAAAGACUUGAUGAAGGCUUGGGUUCUGGUCCAACCGCUCAGUGUUUAUCCUUAAGGGCUCCUGGGACCUGACAACUCUCUCCUUCCCUCAUCAUCUCCCACUGAUCUGCUGUUUCACUGGGGCCAGGCAACCUGAUCUUCCUCCAAGCCAGGGAAAAGAGGAGGU